GUGGCAUUUUGUGGGAGAUGAUGCUUAACUGUGGGGCGAAAAGUAGGAUCUGGGGGAGAAAAUCCACUUGUGGGGGGAGAAAGUAGGUAUUUUGCGGAGAAGAGGUCAUCCUUUGCGGAGAAAGUGUUAUCUUUGAGGGGAGAAAAGAGGUAUUGUGGUGGGGACAGUGUCCGUAUUUGGAGAAGAAGAGGGGUAUUUGUGGGGGAAACUGUCUUAUUGUCGUGAGAAGGGUGGUAUUUGGUGGAGCAAAGGUGAUGUGUGGUGUAGAGAAGUGGUAUUUGGGGCUGUAGGCGUCUUAGUUUGGGGAGCGCAGUGGUAUGUGGGGGGAGAGAGUGUCUUCUUUUAGGGAGCACAGUGGUGUUUUGGGGAGAAAAGUCUGAUUUGGGGUGAAGAGUGGUUUUGUGGUCGGGAAAAUGCCUUCUUUUCUUGACGAAAGUGAGAUUUGGGUCGAGAAAGUCUCAUCUAUGGAGGAGAAAAGAGGUCCUGAGGGGAAGAAACAGUCGUAUUUUUGGGAGAAAAGUGGCGUUUUUGAGAGGAGAGAUCGUAGUUUUGGAGAAGAGUGGUAUGGUGUGGGAAGAAAAAUGGUCAUGUCUUUGGGAGAAAAGUGGUAUUUUGCAAGGAAGAGCUGUAUAUUUUCAGGAGAAAUGUGGCAUGAUGCGCGAAGGAAGGGCCCUAUGUUCUGGAGAAAAGUAGCGUUUGGAGGAGAAACUGUCCUGUUUUGGAGAGAGAAUUUGCAUGUUGUGGAGAAAAAAGGGAGCGCGCGAAGGAAACGUCGUCUUUUUGGAAAGCAAACAGCUUUGUAUUUGGCAGGCGAGAAGUCAUGUUUUGUGGAGAGCAGUGGUAUUCAGUGGAGAAAGAGUCUUGUUUCGGUGAGACAAGGGGUACUUGGGGGAGAAAAUGUCCUAUUCUUUCCGACCCAGAAAUGGAUUUUCUCCCCCAGAUCCUACUUUUCGCCCCGCAGUUAAGCAUCAUCUCCCACAAAAUACCACCUUUCAAACGAAA
ensembl:lncRNA